CCCAGGGCCGGAAGGCAGCAACUC
rnacentral:SRP_RNA from 16 species